CUCUGCCACGCAACAGUGACUGUGAAAUUAACUCGCAGCGCAUCAGGUAAUCUGCAUCAGGAGAAUAGAUGAUGGACCUGUACCUCUGAAAAUGAAGAUCUGGGGCUGAGAUACGACCUGGAAGUGUUUUUAGAAGAUUCACCCAAUUAGAAAAGGGAGUCAUAGACUGCGAUGGUGCUGUGGGAUCUCACUGAUGUCAGGAUAUUCAUCAGGAUGUAGAGCAGUAUGGCCAUCAGCAAUCGACCGAAGGGUAAACAAGUGCCUCUUUCUGACCAGCAGAUCGAUAACGUCAAUGAAAAGUAAAGUCAUUUCAGAGGUGGAACAACUUCAUGCAUUUUGAUAAAAGAUUUCAGGUAAGAAGGAAUUACUCUUAGUAUUUGCAUGUACUGCACUGUCAGUCACAAUA